rnacentral:rRNA from 1 species
UACGGGGGGAGCAAGCGUUGUUCGGAUUUACUGGGCGUAAAGGGCGCGUAGGCGGCCACCGCAAGUCGGUUGUGAAAUCUCUGGGCUUAACCCAGAAAGGUCAACCGAUACUGCGGGGCUAGAGUGCAGAAGGGGCAACUGGAAUUCUCGGUGUAGCGGUGAAAUGCGUAGAUAUCGAGAGGAAGGCCGGUGGCGAAGGCGGCGCUCUGGAACAUUUCUGACGCUGAGGCUCGAAAGCGUGGGGAGCAAACAGG